rnacentral:rRNA from 1 species
GGGGAAUAUUGGACAAUGGGCGCAAGCCUGAUCCAGCCAUACCGCGUGGGUGAAGAAGGCCUUCGGGUUGUAAAGCCCUUUUGUUGGGAAAGAAAUCCAGCCGGCUAAUACCUGGUUGGGAUGACGUUACCGACAGAAUAAGCACCGGCUAACUUCAUGCCAGCAGCCGCGGUAAUACGAAGGGUGCAAGCGUUAAUCGGAAUUACUGGGCGUAAAGCGCGCGUAGGUGGUUCGUUAAGUUGGAUGUGAAAGCCCCGGGCUCAACCUGGGAACUGCAUCCAAAACUGGCGAGCUAGAGUAUGGCAGAGGGUGGUGGAAUUUCCUGUGUAGCGGUGAAAUGCGUAGAUAUAGGAAGGAACACCAGUGGCGAAGGCGACCACCUGGGCUAAUACUGACACUGAGGUGCGAAAGCGUGGGGAGCAAACA